UCAAGUGAAGAAGCGCAUACGGUGGAUGCCUUGGCAGUCAGAGGCGAUGAAAGACGUGGUAGCCUGCGAAAAGCUUCGGGGAGUCGGCAAACAGACUUUGAUCCGGAGAUGUCUGAAUGGGGGAACCCAGCCAUCAUAAGAUGGUUACCUUACACUGAAUACAUAGGUGUAUGGAGCGAACCAGGGGAACUGAAACAUCUAAGUACCCUGAGGAAAAGAAAUCAACCGAGAUUCCCUUAGUAGUGGCGAGCGAACGGGGACUAGCCCUUAAGUGGCUUUGAGAUUAGCGGAACGCUCUGGAAAGUGCGGCCAUAGUGGGUGAUAGCCCUGUACGCGAAAAUCUCUUAGUCAUGAAAUCGAGUAGGACGGAGCACGAGAAACUUUGUCUGAAUAUGGGGGGACCAUCCUCCAAGGCUAAAUACUACUGACUGACCGAUAGUGAACUAGUACCGUGAGGGAAAGGCGAAAAGAACCCCGGAGAGGGGAGUGAAAUAGAUCCUGAAACCGUAUGCGUACAAGCAGUGGGAGCCCACUUUGUUGGGUGACUGCGUACCUUUUGUAUAAUGGGUCAGCGACUUAUUUUCAGUGGCGAGCUUAACCGAAUAGGGGAGGCGUAGCGAAAGCGAGUCUUAAUAGGGCGUCUAGUCGCUGGGAAUAGACCCGAAACCGGGCGAUCUAUCCAUGGGCAGGUUGAAGGUUGGGUAACACUAACUGGAGGACCGAACCGACUACCGUUGAAAAGUUAGCGGAUGACCUGUGGAUCGGAGUGAAAGGCUAAUCAAGCUCGGAGAUAGCUGGUUCUCCUCGAAAGCUAUUUAGGUAGCGCCUCAUGUAUCACUGUAGGGGGUAGAGCACUGUUUCGGCUAGGGGGUCAUCCCGACUUACCAAACCGAUGCAAACUCCGAAUACCUACAAGUGCCGAGCAUGGGAGACACACGGCGGGUGCUAACGUCCGUCGUGAAAAGGGAAACAACCCAGACCGUCAGCUAAGGUCCCAAAGUUAUGGUUAAGUGGGAAACGAUGUGGGAAGGCUUAGACAGCUAGGAGGUUGGCUUAGAAGCAGCCACCCUUUAAAGAAAGCGUAAUAGCUCACUAGUCGAGUCGGCCUGCGCGGAAGAUGUAACGGGGCUCAAACCAUACACCGAAGCUACGGGUAUCACGUAAGUGAUGCGGUAGAGGAGCGUUCUGUAAGCCUGUGAAGGUGAGUUGAGAAGCUUGCUGGAGGUAUCAGAAGUGCGAAUGCUGACAUGAGUAACGAUAAUGGGUGUGAAAAACACCCACGCCGAAAGACCAAGGUUUCCUGCGCAACGUUAAUCGACGCAGGGUUAGUCGGUCCCUAAGGCGAGGCUGAAAAGCGUAGUCGAUGGAAAACAGGUUAAUAUUCCUGUACUUCUGGUUAUUGCGAUGGAGGGACGGAGAAGGCUAGGCCAGCUUGGCGUUGGUUGUCCAAGUUUAAGGUGGUAGGCUGGAAUCUUAGGUAAAUCCGGGAUUCUAAGGCCGAGAGCUGAUGACGAGUUAUCUUUUAGAUGACGAAGUGGUUGAUGCCAUGCUUCCAAGAAAAGCUUCUAAGCUUCAGGUAACCAGGAACCGUACCCCAAACCGACACAGGUGGUUGGGUAGAGAAUACCAAGGCGCUUGAGAGAACUCGGGUGAAGGAACUAGGCAAAAUGGCACCGUAACUUCGGGAGAAGGUGCGCCGGUGAGGGUGAAGGACUUGCUCCGUAAGCUCAUGCCGGUCGAAGAUACCAGGCCGCUGCGACUGUUUAUUAAAAACACAGCACUCUGCAAACACGAAAGUGGACGUAUAGGGUGUGACGCCUGCCCGGUGCCGGAAGGUUAAUUGAUGGGGUUAGCUAACGCGAAGCUCUUGAUCGAAGCCCCGGUAAACGGCGGCCGUAACUAUAACGGUCCUAAGGUAGCGAAAUUCCUUGUCGGGUAAGUUCCGACCUGCACGAAUGGCGUAACGAUGGCGGCGCUGUCUCCACCCGAGACUCAGUGAAAUUGAAAUCGCUGUGAAGAUGCAGUGUAUCCGCGGCUAGACGGAAAGACCCCGUGAACCUUUACUAUAGCUUUGCACUGGACUUUGAAUUUGCUUGUGUAGGAUAGGUGGGAGGCUUUGAAGCGUGGACGCCAGUUCGCGUGGAGCCAACCUUGAAAUACCACCCUGGCAACUUUGAGGUUCUAACUCAGGUCCGUUAUCCGGAUCGAGGACAGUGUAUGGUGGGUAGUUUGACUGGGGCGGUCUCCUCCUAAAGAGUAACGGAGGAGUACGAAGGUGCGCUCAGACCGGUCGGAAAUCGGUCGUAGAGUAUAAAGGCAAAAGCGCGCUUGACUGCGAGACAGACACGUCGAGCAGGUACGAAAGUAGGUCUUAGUGAUCCGGUGGUUCUGUAUGGAAGGGCCAUCGCUCAACGGAUAAAAGGUACUCCGGGGAUAACAGGCUGAUACCGCCCAAGAGUUCAUAUCGACGGCGGUGUUUGGCACCUCGAUGUCGGCUCAUCACAUCCUGGGGCUGAAGCCGGUCCCAAGGGUAUGGCUGUUCGCCAUUUAAAGUGGUACGCGAGCUGGGUUUAGAACGUCGUGAGACAGUUCGGUCCCUAUCUGCCGUGGACGUUUGAGAUUUGAGAGGGGCUGCUCCUAGUACGAGAGGACCGGAGUGGACGAACCUCUGGUGUUCCGGUUGUCACGCCAGUGGCAUUGCCGGGUAGCUAUGUUCGGAAUAGAUAACCGCUGAAAGCAUCUAAGCGGGAAACUAGCCUCAAGAUGAGAUCUCACUGGAACCUUGAGUUCCCUGAAGGGCCGUCGAAGACUACGACGUUGAUAGGUUGGGUGUGUAAGCGCUGUGAGGCGUUGAGCUAACCAAUACUAAUUGCCCGUGAGGCUUGACCAU
rnacentral:rRNA from 1 species